UACGAGGGGGGCAAAUGUUGUUCGGAAUCACUGGGCGUAAAGGGAGCGUAGGCGGGUUUCUAAGUCAGGUGUUUAAUCCCGGGGCCCAACCCCGGACAGGCACUUGAAACUGGGAAUCUUGAAUAGUGGAGAGGUCAGUGGAAUUGGGGUGUAGCGGUGGAAUGCGUAGAGAUCCCCAAGAACACCAGUUGCGAAGGCGGCUGACUGGACACAUAUUGACGCUGAGGCUCGGAAAGCAUGGGGA
rnacentral:rRNA from 1 species